rnacentral:tRNA from 1 species
UCCCUGGUGGCUCAGGUGGUAAAGCGUCUGCCUGCAAUGCAGGAGACCCAGGUUCGAUCCCUGGGUAGGGAA